rnacentral:rRNA from 1 species
UACGGAGGGUGCAAGCGUUAUCCGGAUUUACUGGGUUUAAAGGGUGUGUAGGCGGACUUUUAAGUCAGCGGUGAAAUCCCGGGGCUCAACCCCGGAACUGCAAUUGAUACUAUUGGUCUUGAAUCCUGUUGAGGUGGGCGGAAUACAUCAUGUAGCGGUGAAAUGCUUAGAGAUGAUGUAGAACACCGAUUGCGAAGGCAGCUCACUAAGCAGGCAUUGACGCUGAGGCACGAAAGCGUGGGGAUCAAAC